rnacentral:rRNA from 1 species
UACGGGGGGGGCAAGCGUUGUUCGGAAUUACUGGGCGUAAAGGGCUCGUAGGCGGCCAACUAAGUCAGACGUGAAAUCCCUCGGCUUAACCGGGGAACUGCGUCUGAUACUGGAUGGCUUGAGAUUGGGAGAGGGAUGCGGAAUUCCAGGUGUAGCGGUGAAAUGCGUAGAUAUCUGGAGGAACACCGGUGGCGAAGGCGGCUUCCUGGACCGGUUCUGACACUGAGGAGCGAAAGCGUGGGGAGCGAUCCGG